UCUUUUAAAUUAAAAAUAAUAGUAAAUUUAAUUAAAAUAUUUCUUUCUUAUAAAAAGUGUUUUACUUUUAGUUUUUAAAAGAAACUAAUAAUUAUAAAAUAUAUUAUUUUUCGAAACAUAUAUAAAAUCUACUUUGUAUUUUUUUGUAUUAAAAAGUAAAUUUUGAAUAUUUUAAAAUAA
rnacentral:tRNA from 1 species